GACGAACGCUGGCGGCGUGCUUAACACAUGCAAGUCGAACGUGAUUUUUGUGGAAAUUCUUUCGGGAAUGGAAAUGAAAUGAAAGUGGCGAACGGGUGAGUAACACGUGAGCAACCUACCUUACACAGGGGGAUAGCCGUUGGAAACGACGAUUAAUACCGCAUGAGACCACAGAAUCGCAUGAUAUAGGGGUCAAAGAUUUAUCGGUGUAAGAAGGGCUCGCGUCUGAUUAGCUAGUUGGAAGGGUAAAGGCCUACCAAGGCGACGAUCAGUAGCCGGUCUGAGAGGAUGAACGGCCACAUUGGAACUGAGACACGGUCCAAACUCCUACGGGAGGCAGCAGUGGGGAAUAUUGCACAAUGGGGGGAACCCUGAUGCAGCGACGCCGCGUGAGCGAAGAAGGUUUUCGAAUCGUAAAGCUCUGUCCUAUGAGAAGAUAAUGACGGUAUCAUAGGAGGAAGCCCCGGCUAAAUACGUGCCAGCAGCCGCGGUAAUACGUAUGGGGCGAGCGUUGUCCGGAAUUAUUGGGCGUAAAGGGUACGUAGGCGGUUUUUUAAGUCAGGUGUGAAAGCGUGAGGCUUAACCUCAUUAAGCACUUGAAACUGGAAGACUUGAGUGAAGGAGAGGAAAGUGGAAUUCCUAGUGUAGCGGUGAAAUGCGUAGAUAUUAGGAGGAAUACCGGUGGCGAAGGCGACUUUCUGGACCUUUACUGACGCUCAGGUACGAAAGCGUGGGGAGCAAACAGG
rnacentral:rRNA from 1 species